rnacentral:rRNA from 1 species
AUGGAUUGGAACCCGCAAAUGCUUUCUUGGAACGUGAGGGGGCUUAACAACCCAGCUAAAAAGAAUGCUGUUAGGGAAUUCAUUAUAGCGGCUAAGGUUAACUUGGUGUGUCUCCUUGAGACUAAACUUGAUGUAAUUAAUGCAUAUGUGGUGAUGCAAUGCAUUGGGCCAUCUUUUGAUGGUUUCGCUUACUUGCCAGCGAUUAAUACGAGGGGUGGAAUUCUUCUGGCCUGUGAUAGCUCUUACAUGUCGAUUGAUAACUUGGCUCGGGAUACAAACUUCCUCAUGGGUCAUGUGCGCGAUAAGGAUGGUUGGGACUAG